UGAACCACGUAUACAACACGCGAAAAAUGCAAUCACGGUUAGUUAUCUUUUGUAUUGUGUUUCCGCGUGAUGGAUAUGCUGUGUCAACGCCCCGCUAUAGCCCCGCGAUGAAGCAAAACGCAUUGAGCUGUACCAAGCGAGAAGCAAUGAACCAAAUGGUUCAGAGCAGACUCGCUUUUGUAUUAAUAAAUGAAGUUAAGGCUGAAGGUAAACAUUCAUUAAGCUGCGGAUGUAAAUACAUGACAAAAUGUUCGUGAAUGCAUGAUGUGCAUUUUCACAUCGCAGUCAAAGACUGACCUCCCCUGAACAACUUCACUAACUAUUCCGCUAGAUCUGCAUAAAUUGCUGUAAAUUUCAAUGACAGAUUGAUGAGACAAAUAUAUAAGAUCGCGCAUUUCCUUCUUGCAGCGUUAGCACUCGCGUUUGAGCUAUUUGUAGCAACGUACACACGAUUUUUCUGUUCAUAUGUCGAUACCGAAACUGAAACUGAGGUGGUGGUGGCGUGGUGGCGCUUGUGUCGCCAACAUCGCCCUGUCGCUUUUUUUUUUUCUUUCCAAACAUGGCGGCGUCCUGCAUUUCGUGUGUGCGUCGUAGUGUCGAGUUUUGUUCAUGCGGUCGACCUUUACUGCGUUACCUCGCAUUGUGUGUUGUGUGUUGCGGUUACUGACGUAAGCGCAAGUUCUUCACUGAGUAUGAUCCGCGGCACCGUGCAAAUAGUCACCAGAUGCCGGCCGUGCGACUCCGUUCUCUGCGACUCCUUUGUUCGGUGUGAUCGAGGGACGUGAUUCUUAGCUUUGGAGACCCUCUUUACACCGUGCCCUCUUCAAACGUUUCCACACAUCAGUGAGUAGCAGCACCGCAAUCUUUACUCGACGGCACGCUCCGUGGGCCUAGAAAAUGCCUUGACGUUCGAGCACUUCGGGAGCUAUACCGGCGGACAGCCGGAUGCGGGUAGCUUGGCCGUUCCUUGCUCUGCGCAUCGCUUGAAAACCGGCGGUCAUCCUGCAGUGCACGCUGCCAGCGUGCUUUCUUGCCAGAGCCACCUCCCCUGCUGGUGAUGACCAUAUGCAGCCAAUGCUGAUGUGAACCCGAGGGAUUAACAAAUGCAGAUCUGCAAAGGAGCUGUCCUGAGGCACCAUGCUUACUCAAGUCAUGCAGCGAGAGUCAGCAUGCCUGGAAAAGUACAUCAAAGCACACCCCAUCUGGCUGACUGCACUACCUCAAGGAAACUGCCUUUCUCCUAUCUGCAAGUUCCUAAGAAGUUACUAUAUGAAGCAAGCCAGCAGGGCGUACGUGUUAGGCAUGGCAGCAUGGAGAACAAAUAAACAUGAGUAUUUGGUGCAAGAUGCAUUCAUUGAUUUUGUGCUGCAUCAACAUGUGGCUGCAUGCUUGGCCACGUGUAGACACAGCAAGUAAACUCGUUAACCUCAAUGGUAAAAGGUUAUCUAUAAUCACGUUAAGAAGCACGAUGUCUUAUUUUUGUAAAUAAUUGCAUAGCUCGACUUUGACUCAGGCAUCCAACACCCAUCGUUAUCUACCCAUUAUCUGCCCAUCACCCAGCAUACACCCAGUAUGUCCAUCACCCACCGUCCACCCACCAGCCGUCCAUCAUCCACCAUCUGUCCACCAUCCGUCCAUCAUCCACCAUCUGUCCACCAUCCGUCCAUCAUCCACCAUCUGUCCACCAUCCGUCCAUCACCCACCAUCUGUCCACCAUGCGUCCAUCAUUACCCAGUACCAUAAUCCACCAAGAUGAUGGGUAGUGGGUCCCAUCAUGCCCACCA